ensembl:lncRNA
AUCAGCACAGACACUUAUGUGAUAUUAUAACAUCCAGAUAAUGAUUGCAUUUCAGACUUAAAAAGAAAAAGGUGAACUAAAUUUGUAGAUUGUUGUAAUUGUAGUGGUGAAAUUGUGCAUUGAUAAUGUUUCUUAUUAUGAUUAUCAUUGGCUUCUGUGUCUUAGAAUUCCAGAGAAAAGUAAUGGAGAUGCUUGUUGAAAUCCGUGAAGACAUCCGCACAUUAAAAGAAAAAGUGUGGGGGGAUGCAGGAAAUGCAUACUGUCUCAAAGAUUCCUGCCCAGUCCUCAACUGUUGAGGAACUUAACAUCCUUGAUAAAUCCCUCAACUGCUUGGAUGAGAAGCUGAGACUGAUUGAUAGCUUGUCCAGUGUUGGAGGGAUGCACCUGAAGGACAAUGUCAAGAGGGUCAUGGAGAAGUAAGUUGUUAUAUUAGCAGUCCUCAGCAGAAUCAUGUCUUAUUACAUCUGACACUUGAUAUUGUCAGAAAAGUUGAAGUUAACUAUCUUUUAUCAAGUGUUAUGGAGGAAACACUGCUUGACAGUUUUAUAUCUAUCUAUCUAUCUAUCAGGGGUGUGCUAUAUGAUGAUUUUUGAUCGUGGACGAUAAAAAAUGUCUCCACGAUCUGCUUUUGAAGAAAUGUCGUUGUAUCGUGCUACAGUGCACAUUCAAUCAGCUGCAGUUCUGGCGCCUCCGUCGUAUACUAUACAACACCACAUGCAUUCACAUCAGUGUUGACUCAGCGGUAGAGUUACUCUCACAGGAGUUACUCUCUCAUUAUUUGCAUGUGCUUUUAAAUGUUUCAUUCGUGCGCUGGUCUGACCUGUGCUUUUUUUCUGAGUGCCACAUUCACCCAAAUCGCGCACGUUAAAGACUGUCGAACAGCGCCUGAUUAUUGAACUAAUUUAUCUUUUGCACUAAUACUGUCAAAACACAAGGUUUACAUGUAGACUCAAGUUUGUUAGGUCUAAAAUGGAAGUAAACCGUUGAGAGAAAAACGUAUAUAUGCCUGUAUAUUAGAUGCAUGCAUGUCUUAAAGGGACAGUAGGUCUAUUAAACAUGCAGCCUUCUGUCAUUACUGUCAAGGGAUAGAUCACUCUAAAAUUGUAAUUUCUGUCAUUUUUUACUCACUGUCACGUUGUCCUAAACCUGUAUUAAUUUCUUUCUUGUGCUGAACACAAAAUAAGAUAUUUUGAAGAAUGUAGCCAAACAGUUGCUGGUCCACAUUGAAUUUGAUAGUAGCAAAAAACACUCUGGAUCUAUCUAUCUAUAACAAAAUUUAAACCUGGUACUUUUUAUUUUACAGUUAUAAUUUAUAUUUGACUCUUAUGAGCCAACGGUAGCUACUUUUAAUCCAUAACUAACAUUCUACUUUUCAUAAAAAAUAAACGUAACAUAAUUAGAUACUUUAGUUGUCAACACUGUAAUGUAACACAUGUAGGCUAGUUUCUCAAUGCUGAGAAUGAAUAAAAACUGAGUACCUGAUACUGCAGACUUUGCUUGUCAGUCAUUCAUGAUUUAAUUUGGAAAAGCACGUUAUGUUUGGCCAAAUGCCAAACUAGUCUAUGACAGGAAAAUGAUACAGGUCUGCAUUAUGUCCAAAUAAUUUUCUUGUCAGUAUGGCUGAGUGGUAUGAGGUAAUCAUAGUAUAACAUGUAUACCACAACAUGUAAAUAAGUGGGUGUGGUUAACUCACAUACUGUGAGUUUAUUAAAGAAACAUGAAGAAAGGUGAAGGAGCAGAUGAGGAGGACCCACAAAGAAAUCCUGAGCAGGAAAAAAUUCUUAUAUUUUCAAACAUACAAUGCUGUUUAGUUUCUAAAUGAAUCUGUUUUGUUCGAAUCAACUGAACUAGUGAUUAACUGGUCAAAUAAGAGUAAUUACUUCAUUCCUGAAUGAAUCAGCCGUUUGAAAUAAUUGAAUAAAGGAAUGAAUGAAGGACUGAGUGACUUGCGCAAUAAGGCAUUUACCACCACCUUGUGGCAGUUCUAGUUUAUUAUGGAGUACUAUGUCUUCAAAAAAAUAUAUAAUUAAGGUAUCAAAAUAAAGUUCACACAAAAAAAUAUAUAUAUUGAAGAAUGAUGGUAAUCAAACUAUAAAGUAUAUUUCUAAAAACUACUUUUUGUAAUGUAUGUUUGGUGCUUUUCUCAUUUAACAUUAUAAUUGCAUAAAAUUUUGUUUUGGGGGUUAUUUCUCAGAUAAAUUUUCAAUUAACUAAUCUCCACAUUAUGUAAUAAGCUUUAAAAAAAAAAAAAAAAAGAAAAAGAAAAGCCUACUUAAUAACUAUACUGUAAUGUAUAUCGUUACCGUGAAAUAAAAUUACUCAUACUGUGAAAAAUAAUUUUGGUCAUACCGCCCACCCAUACUUGUCAGUAUACUGUUCUGCAUGCUGCAAGUGAAAAAGAAACUACAAGACCUGAUGUGAGAUGAUCAUCUGCUCAGAUAAACAUUUAUUAAAUAAUCCAUCCAUAUUAUCCAUUGAUGUUGAUUCAAAUUUCAUUCUUUGUUGAAUCUAUUGGACCUAUCCACCUUGACCAUCUCUCUGGCAUGUUACAUAGCAACCAUAACAGUUGCACACACAACUUUUCACAUUUAUUUUUUCCCUACCUCUUUUCCUAAUCUGCUAUUUUGAGCACAUUUGUCAAAUAUGCAAAGCUGAUUCAAAUUCAUUAAAUGAUUUUAAGCUCAAGUUAAUUUAAAAAAAAUAACUUACAGUUGUAAAAGGCUAUAAUUUGGGACAAACACUGCUUAUAUUGAUUUAAUACAGAACGUGAUUCAGAAUGCUUACAUACAGAACAACGCUGUAUUAAUGUCAAGCCCUGUUUGCAAAUAUGUGCUUAUGUUGCCAACUCCUUAUACAAUUAUUGAAGACUGGUAAUAUAACAGAAUUCAUAGUGUAAAAAUAUAUCCCAACACAUUGCUUUUGGUACCAUCUAAUAGCCAUAUAUUGCUCACCUGAUUGUUGUUAGUUUGCCUUUUUUGUUUUACUUCUCUAUUUGUGUAUAUAUAACAAACCUAAUUAAAUGUUUAGAGAUUUUUCUAUAUGUUCACAUCCUUACUGACUUCUAGCAUUAACUCCAGGCCAAGUUGUUGAAAUGGUGCUGGUUUUACAUUUUGAAAUUGCACAAUAUCAGUUGUUCUGCAAUAAGAUAA